UACGUAGGGGGCUAGCGUUGUCCGGAAUCAUUGGGCGUAAAGAGCGUGUAGGCGGCCCGGUAAGUCCGCUGUGAAAGUCGGGGGCUCAACCCUCGAAUGCCGGUGGAUACUGUCGGGCUAGAGUGCGGAAGAGGCGAGUGGAAUUCCUGGUGUAGCGGUGAAAUGCGCAGAUAUCAGGAGGAACACCGAUGGCGAAGGCAGCUCGCUGGGACGGUACUGACGCUGAGGCGACGAAAGCGUGGGGAGCAAACAGG
rnacentral:rRNA from 1 species